UGGGGAAUAUUGCACAAUGGGCGAAAGCCUGAUGCAGCAACGCCGCGUGAGUGAUGAAGGCCUUCGGGUUGUAAAGCUCUGUCUUUUGGGACGAUAAUGACGGUACCAAAGGAGGAAGCCACGGCUAACUACGUGCCAGCAGCCGCGGUAAUACGUGGUGGCGAAGCGUUGUCCGGAUUUACUGGGCGUAAAGGAUGCGUAGGCGGAUUUUUAAGUGAGAUGUGAAAACCCUAAGCUUAACUUGGGGACUGCAUUUCAUACUGGAAAUCUAGAGUGCGGGAGAGGAGAAUGGAAUUCCUAGUGUAGCGGUGAAAUGCGUAGAGAUUAGGAAGAACACCAGUGGCGAAGGCGAUUCUCUGGACCGUAACUGACGCUGAGGCAUGAAAGCGUGGGUAGCAAACAGGAUUAGAUACCCUGGUAGUCCACGCCGUAAACGAUGAGUACUAGGUGUAGGAGGUAUCGACCCCUUCUGUGCCGCAGUUAACACAAUAAGUACUCCGCCUGGGAAGUACGAUCGCAAGGUUAAAACUCAAAGGAAUUGACGGGGUCAUAGCUGUUUCCU
rnacentral:rRNA from 1 species